rnacentral:rRNA from 1 species
UAUAGGGGGUGCAAACGUUGCUCGGAAUCAUUGGGCGUAAAGCGCACGUAGGCGGUUCGUUAUGUCGGAUGUGAAAGCCCUUGGCUUAACCGAGGAAGUGCAUCCGAAACUGGCGAGCUAGAGUACGAAAGAGGAUCGCGGAAUUCCCGGUGUAGAGGUGAAAUUCGUAGAUAUCGGGAGGAACACCGGUGGCGAAGGCGGCGAUCUGGGUCGAUACUGACGCUGAGGUGCGAAAGCGUGGGGAGCAAACAGG